rnacentral:ncRNA from 1 species
UAAACGGUCCUUUUCAGGACCACACAUACCUUUCAUCAAAGAGAAU